UACGUAGGCAGCGAGCGUUGUUCGGAAUUACUGGGCGUAAAGAGUGUGUAGGCGGUGCUCUAAGUUCGGUGUGAAAUCUCCCGGCUUAACUGGGAGGGUGCGCCGGAAACUGGAGUGCUCGAGCGUGGGAGAGGAAAGCGGAAUUCCUGGUGUAGCGGUGAAAUGCGUAGAUAUCCGGAAGAACACCGGUGGCGAAGGCGGCCUGCUGGGCAGUUGCUGACACUGAGGCGCGACAGCGUGGGGAGCAAACAGG
rnacentral:rRNA from 1 species